UUAUUACUCCUCCGUCCAACAAAGGAUGUCUCAACUUUAACUAAAUUUGAAUGCAUUUAUACACUAAGUCAUGUCUAGAUACAUCCAAAUUUUGACAAACUUGAGAUAUCCUUUGUUGGACGGAGGGAGUAGGAA
rnacentral:pre_miRNA from 1 species